UCACAUUUUUUAUUGAAAUGUGUCUGUCUCGUUAUUUUUCCUAUAACCUUUUAGGUUUACAGCUGGAAAAAAUCGAAAUACUGUAUAUAGAACCUAAACCUUGAAAGCGACGCAGUAGCCAGGAAUGACGUAGGAUUCCGAAAAAUUUCUCUCUUUCUUCAGAACUGCGGUGGGAGAUGAAAAAUUUCUACCUAUCUGGUUAGAUAGAAAAGUUUUCGAAUAGAAUUCUUGCAUUGAAACAGAGACAGAAACUUUGGUUUUGGAGAAAAUGCUGAAAGCAAAGAAGAAUAAAUCCUACAAAGAAAGAUUCUUUCGAGAUUACAAAGGGCAAGGAAUGUUCGGCAGUGAAGUAAUCCAAAAGCUGAAAAAGCGUCUGAAAGAGAAUAAACUUCUGGAAACAAGAAGCGAUCAUCGAUUCUUAAAAGUAACAUUCACACUAAUCUUGUAUCUGUUGCAUGGUUGAAUGUCUGGUAUUGUUAUUCAAAAGAUAUUUAUUUGUAUAUAUUUGUAUAUAUUUGCAUACAUUCUACUAAAAAAUUAAUUGUCCUCAAGUUAAAAGGUUAAAAGUUUAAAACAUAAAAAAAAAAAAUUAAAAAUUUCUAAAUUGUUUUCAAGGUUGUAUCUAAGUUUUCCCAAACCAAGAAAAAUUAUUAAAAAAUUCCACUGAAAAGUUGGAGAUCGUCAAAAGUGCUGACCUAAAUGUUCUGUGAUUAAAACGCAGCAAAAUAGUAAUGCUUUUACCUUUUUAUGAAGGACUUACUUAAGCAGAAAGUUUAAUACUUCUUUUAUAGUUUUUUUUUCCAUAUAUAUUUUUUCCUUUUUUCUAUAAUUUCUCUAGCUAUUUUUUUUUGUUUUUUUCUUUAUUAUUUUCAAUUGAAUUUGCAAUAUCCUCUAUAAAAUGAUUGGUAUUUAUUUAAAAAUUUUAUAAUUUACUUGAAAGAUUUUUCGAUGAUUUUUUAAAGAUUUGAAAUGAUUGAAAGAUUUUCUUUUAUCAAUCUCGUUUGUUUGAAAAAACAAAAAUAAUUAUCCAUUGCUACUGAAAGAAAAUUAUGAUUUCAUUUCAACACUUUUACUAUUAUGUUGUGAAAUAUAAUGCAUAGACAUAUGUUACAUUCACCAUUUAUAAUUUGAAAUUAAUAGGUGAAUUAAAACGGAAAAGUUUUGUAUUUUAUAUUUACUACAUCCAGUCUUUUAGAUUGUUUAUUUAUGUAAGUUUUAAUUUAAACGAAAAGGAAAUAAGCAUGAUUUUAUAUUAAAUUACCGAAGAGCACUAAAUUGCUUGCUCUUCAAAUUCAUAGUUUAUACCAAACGUUCUAUUUAAAAUAAGUAGCAAGUUCUAUAAAAACUAAGGCAUAGCGGAACUAUAGAAAAUACGUUCCUUUGAUGUCACAGCGGUAUAUUUUUAACACUAGUAAAUGACUUAUUUUCUGCGUUAAACAAUUAAUAAAACUUAGAUUGACAUUUAUGUAUUUGUAAUAUUUUUCAUUCUUGUUAAUUGUAUUAUACUGUAUCGCACAUAGUUCAUUGUUAAGUAUUUUAUUGAAUAACAAUGUAUUGAGCUGCAUUUUCUCAUCCUAUUGUUUUGUAUUAUAUGUCAUAUAUUGUUCAGCUCGUUUUAAACAUUUUUUACUUACUGUUUAUAAAUGAAAGCAUAAGAUACUAUCGUCAAUGUUUUGUUUAUUAUUUAGCAUUUGAUCUCUCAUCGGGAUGUGUUUCGGCGAUAUUCUGCAAACAGCAAAAUGAGAGUUUCUAAAUUUAUGAAUUUUUAUUGUAUUUUUAUUUUAAUUUUGAUUAUUUAAAUUAAAAAAAAGCCUUAGUCAGCAUCAAGAAGUAGUGAUAUCGUUGUAUUUAUGUGAUAAUUUUGUGUCUUUUACUUGAAAUUAAUUUUAUUGAUUUUUUUACUUCUCUUAUAAACUUUUAACUUGUAAUUUGAUGUGAUUUUCAUUUUCUAAUUGUUUUAAGAAACUCCACUAAUUUUUAAUGAUAUUAAGAGACCUCAGUAGCUUGUAGAAUCAAACUAAUCGAAAAAUAUAUGAGUAAUGGUUUGUGUAAUGGUUUAUAGUUACUUAAAUAAUGUUUUCAUAACAUUAAGUAAUACCGAUUUUAAUUUAAAUAUAUAAGAAACAAGCAAUUAUUUAGAAAAAAAGGUAUUCAUUACAAAUCCACUGUUUAUACCUCACAAUACGGCAGAUAAGAAUUUCAAUUUAAACUAAUAAAAAAUAAAACGAUGGAAAAUGUGUUAUUUAUGUUCUAUGUUAUGUUCUACUUAUGUUAUUAUGUAAAUUUAUGUUCUGCUUCUAAUAGUUGUGAGAAACAAGAAUGGAGUUUCUGUUUUUGAAUUGUUUUUAAUUGAUUGCAUUAUGAAGUAUUGCAUGGUAUUUUCAUACGCAUUAUUGUACUGUACCUUGUUGCAUUGUACCUUUUUGUAUUGCAUCGUUUUAUUGCAUAUAAUAUUGUGUAUCGUUUGCAUGUAUUGUACAACAUAUAAAAUAUUUAUUACUGUAUUGUAUACGUAUUGGAAGCAUGAGAUAAAAACUUUAUUUUGUUUAUUA